GACCUCUCAUCAUGAGUCAACUCGAGAUUAAGCCAAAUCGACCCCUGUGGUGGGGAUGGAUGUUUUAACCCGAGACAACCCGAUGUUCUAUUCAUUCUAUUUCAUUUUUUUUUUGAGCCAAAAUCCCAUUCAAAGUUCUCCUCCACCUAAAUCGACCCUUCCCACUCUAAUUUUCCUCUAAUUUUUCAUGGAUUGGAUCUCCUAUGGCACUUAUGAAGAAAAUGGCCCAG
rnacentral:lncRNA from 1 species